rnacentral:rRNA from 1 species
AUUGAACGCUGGCGGCAUGCCUUACACAUGCAAGUCGAACGGCAGCACGGGUGCUUGCACCUGGUGGCGAGUGGCGAACGGGUGAGUAAUACAUCGGAACAUGUCCUGUAGUGGGGGAUAGCCCGGCGAAAGCCGGAUUAAUACCGCAUACGAUCUACGGAUGAAAGCGGGGGACCUUCGGGCCUCGCGCUAUAGGGUUGGCCGAUGGCUGAUUAGCUAGUUGGUGGGGUAAAGGCCUACCAAGGCGACGAUCAGUAGCUGGUCUGAGAGGACGACCAGCGACACUGGGACUGAGACACGGCCCAGACUCCUACGGGAGGCAGCAGUGGGGAAUUUUGGACAAUGGGCGAAAGACUGAUCCAGCAAUGCCGCGUGUGUGAAGAAGGCCUUCGGGUUGUAAAGCACUUUUGUCCGGAAAGAAAUCCUUGGCCCUAAUACGGUCGGGGGAUGACGGUACCGGAAGAAUAAGCACCGGCUAACUACGU